rnacentral:RNase_P_RNA from 1 species
GCGAUUGCUAGGCAACUAGAGGAAAGUCCAUGCUCGCACAGUCUGUGAUGGCUGUAGUGAUUGCGCAAGGCGAAAAAAUAAGCCUUGGCACGUAGGAGUACGUGACGGCGGCGAAUUGGCUCUCGUAGUCAAGGAACCAUAAAGUACCACAGAGACGAGCUUACUAGCGAUAGUAAGGUGAAACGUUGGCAAACCCCACAAGCGAGAAACCCAAAUUUGGUAGGGGAAGGAGGAGACUCGAACCGAAGAGAAUCCUCCCAGGGAAACCUGAGAUUAAUUAUCGCCCUCGACAGAACAUGGCUUAUCG